rnacentral:rRNA from 1 species
UACGAAGGGGGCUAGCGUUGUUCGGAAUCACUGGGCGUAAAGGGCGCGUAGGCGGCCACCCAAGUCAGGCGUGAAAGCCCCGGGCUCAACCUGGGAACCGCGCUUGAGACUGGUUGGCUCGAGUUCCGGAGAGGUGGGUGGAAUUCCCAGUGUAGAGGUGAAAUUCGUAGAUAUUGGGAAGAACACCGGUGGCGAAGGCGGCCCACUGGACGGACACUGACGCUGAGGCGCGAAAGCGUGGGGAGCAAACAGG